UACAGAGGUGGCAAGCGUUGUUCGGAUUUACUGGGCGUAAAGGGCGCGUAGGCGGCCUCCGCAAGUCAGUUGUGAAAUCUCCGAGCUUAACUCGGAAAGGUCAACUGAUACUGCGGGGCUAGAGUGCGGAAGGGGCAACUGGAAUUCUUGGUGUAGCGGUGAAAUGCGUAGAUAUCAAGAGGAACACCUGCGGCGAAGGCGGGUUGCUGGGCCGACACUGACGCUGAGGCGCGAAAGCUAGGGGAGCGAACGGG
rnacentral:rRNA from 1 species